rnacentral:lncRNA from 1 species
UGUUCACAUCUUCCUCUUCAGGAUUCGCAUAGUGCUUUUUUCAUAGAAUUAAUAUAGCAUCUAUCAAUUCUGUUAUUAUAUAUGUGAAUAUUUCAUAUACCUUUCGCAUUUCAUAUACAAACUAAUAUUUCAUAUACAUGUGAAAAUAACAUACCCUUUCUGCUGCUCCUGGGACUUGACAGAACCUAGUAAAUCAUUCCCACAAUAUUUAUUGAAUUAGAUUAAAGAAAAAGAUUACCAAAAUGCAGAACCAAGUAGCAAGAAUACAGGGAAGAGCAUUUGAAAACUAAGUCAAAUUAAUAUCAAUUUGAUUUCACAAACACAUGUAUUAAAUACAAAGCAGAAUUUUUGGUAUAGCAGUCAUUAGUGAGAUUGGAGAUGGGCAUAACCCAGAACAUAUAGGACCUUAGAGACUCAUGAUAAGGUAUUCUUUCCUAUUAUUGUUCUCCAAUUUAAAAUAAAAAGAAAGUUGGACACUCAAUGAUUAAUAAAAUGUGCUGAUGGUGUCUGAUAGAUAGUAUUAGUUCAGUAAUUGCUUCUUUUUUGUUUUUAUUAUGAAAAAUUUCAAACAUACACCAAAGU